AAGACUAUACUUCACAGGAUCAUUUCUGUAGUCAGUCUUCUCUUACUUUUGAAGAAAGUACGAAAUUAACAAACCUGCGAUGAAGAGGUAUAUCGUUUUAUCUACAGCGUGAGGUUUGACUGUUGUUCUAGCGGCUUGUUCGCAUUGAAUAACAUGUCGUCGAUGAUCGCUCGGUGAUAAUGGAUAAAACGACUUCGGAGUGGU